AAUUUAACAAUGGCCGGCAGAAGAACAGCUUCCAACCGAAUUGUCUGUUCCCCCCUCUCGCGAAAGAAAGAUUUACGUCCGGAAACGGCGAAAAUGCCUUCCUGGACUCGUUACGCGAUCGUAAGGUAAACAGGAAGGGGGGGGGGGGGAUCGGCUAAACAAAUCCGAGAAUAACCACGGAGAGACGGGUGAACCGUAAUAAAAUCGAAUCGAUGGCCGCGGAUCGUACGUCACAAAUUAUCCAAUUGGCCGAGACAAAAGAUUUAUUUCUAUCGGCUCCCUUAAUUACGUCACCCUGUAAUCCAAUAACAGUUACUCGACGUUCCAAGUCACGUUAAUCCGUGGAUUUUGCGCCACGAGGGAAGGAUGGAAAUAUUCGAAAAUGGCGCGGUUCGUGCCGGGAGAAACAGGAAAAACGAAAAAAAAUGGAAACAGGGG